AGGUGGGGGAUAGCGUCGGGAAACUGGCGGUAAUACCCCAUACGCUCUACGGAGGAAAGCUCCGGCGCCUUGGGAGCGGCGAUUGUCCUAUCAGGUUGUUGGUGAGGUAACGGCUCACCAAGCCUAAGACGGGUAGCGGGUGUGAGAGCAUGACCCGCCGCAUCGGAACUGAGACACUGUCCGGACUCCUACGGGAGGCUGCAGUAACGAAUCUUCCGCAAUGCGCGAAAGCGUGACGGAGCAAUGCCGCGUGUGGGAUAAGCGGUUACGCCGUGUAAACCACUGUCAGGGUCUAGGAAGAACUGACCAGACCCAGAGGAAGGGCCGGCUAAUCUCGUGCCAGCAGCCGCGGUAAUACGAGAGGCCCGAGCGUUAGGCGGAAUCACUGGGCUUAAAGGGUGCGCAGGCGGGCAGGUAGGCACUUCGUGAAAUCCCUCGGCUCAACCGAGGAACUGCGGGGUGAACCACUUGUCUUGAGGAAGGCAGAGGCUGUCGGAACGUUCGGUGGAGCGGUGAAAUGCGUAGAUAUCGAACGGAACGCCGAAGGGGUAGCCAGGCAGCUGGGCCUUUCCUGACGCUCAGGCACGAGAGCGUGGGGAUCAAACAGGAUUAGAUACCCUGGUAGUCCACGCCGUAAACGAUGUGCACUAGCUUGAUGCGGAUCUGACUCCGUGUCGGGCGCCGAGAAAUCAUUAAGUGCACCGCCUGGGGAGUACGGUCGCAAGGCUAAAACUCAAAGGAAUUGACGGGGGCUCACACAAGCGGUGGAGCAUGUUGCUUAAUUCGAAGCAACGCGAAGAACCUUACCUGGGCUUGACAUGCAUGGAUUAGCUCUUGGAAACAUGAGUGACGCCCUCGGGUGGAACAUGCACAGGUGCUGCAUGGCUGUCGUCAGCUCGUGCUGUGAAGUGUCGGGUUAAGUCCCUUAACGAGCGCAACCCUUGUCGCUAGUUGCCAGCGCGUCAUGGCGGGGACUCUAGCGAGACUGCCGGUGUCAAACCGGAGGAAGGUGGGGAUGACGUCAAGUCCUCAUGGCCCUUACGCCCAGGGUGGCAAACGUGCUACAAUGGCCUGUACAGAGCGAAGCAAUACCGCGAGGUGGAGCAAAUCGCAAAAAGCAGGCCCCAGUUCGGAUUGCAGUCUGCAACUCGACUGCAUGAAGCCGGAAUCGCUAGUA
rnacentral:rRNA from 1 species